CUCUCUUCUUCCGCGAGCUUUCGGUGCAUCCCCUGCUCUCUUCAUCUUCUCGCCGUCAUCUUCAUCUUCUCGCUAUCGUCAGAUCGGCAUCUUCCGUCAUUCAAGGGUCUGUCGGCGUCAUCUUCGAAGAUUUAGUGAAACACCUUUUAGGAGAAGCCUUAAAUCACCUUUAGUGAGGCUCAUUUUAUCUGUGAUUCAUGCGUACCUGUCAAGCCCUACAAGAAGAAGGGAAAAAUCCCUGACAAACAGCAGCAACAACAAUCAGAGAGGGGUGGGGGACUUUUCACCAUGUUUAAGU